CAAUAGCGUAUAUUAAAGUUGUUGCAGUUGGAACGCUCGUAGUCGGAUUUCGGGGCGGGCCGACCGGUCUGCCGAUGGGUACGCACUGGUCGGCGCGUCCUUCCUUCCGGAGACCGUUCCUACUCUUAACUGAGCGGGGGCGGGAGACGGAUCGUUUACUUUGAAAAAAUCAGAGUGUUUCAAGCAGGCAGCUCGCUCUUGCAUGGAUUAGCAUGGGAUAAUGAAAUAGGACUUUGGUGCUAUUUUGUUGGUUUCGAACACCGAAGUAAUGAUUAAAAGGGACAGUCAGGGGCACUCGUAUUCCGCCGAGAGAGGUGAAAUUCUCAGACCAGCGGAAGACGAACUACUGCGAAAGCAUUUGCCAGGGAUGUUUUCACUGA
rnacentral:rRNA from 1 species